GACGAACGCUGGCGGCGUGCUUAACACAUGCAAGUCGAACGGAAAGGCCCUGCUUUUGUGGGGUGCUCGAGUGGCGAACGGGUGAGUAACACGUGAGUAACCUGCCCUUGACUUUGGGAUAACUUCAGGAAACUGGGGCUAAUACCGGAUAGGAGCUCCUGCUGCAUGGUGGGGGUUGGAAAGUUUCGGCGGUUGGGGAUGGACUCGCGGCUUAUCAGCUUGUUGGUGGGGUAGUGGCUUACCAAGGCUUUGACGGGUAGCCGGCCUGAGAGGGUGACCGGCCACAUUGGGACUGAGAUACGGCCCAGACUCCUACGGGAGGCAGCAGUGGGGUAUAUUGCACAAUGGGCGGAAGCCUGAUGCAGCAACGCCGCGUGCGGGAUGACGGCCUUCGGGUUGUAGACCGCUUUCGCCUGUGACGAAGCGUGAGUGACGGUAAUGGGUAAAGAAGCACCGGCUAACUACGUG
rnacentral:rRNA from 1 species